rnacentral:misc_RNA from 1 species
GUCGCGUCCGAAUUGUAAUUAACACCAGCAGCGGCGCAAGAGAUCAAAGCGGCAGAAGCGAAAGGAAGGUGUGAUUCCCCAUUAAGAGGUUUCGAAAUACAGAGUGUUGGGUGGAGUAUGAGAGAAGAGUGGUCGGGCGAGCACUAAUUGAACACCGACCUAAUUUGACUUGGCAGGGCACGGGCAUCAGCCUUAUUUCCCGGGCAUUCAUCUAUUUGGUUAGAAAAGCUUUUGAAUGUCUCUUCCAAGGCUUUCCAACACUAGAUAAGAGAGACCUUCACCUUGGACUGGAGUGAUUUUCCCUAACCUAAAUCGAAUUCAUUAAUUUGAAUUAGCCUUAUUUUAUCUUUAAGCUUAGUGAGGGAGCUACUGGCCGUAGCG